AACGAACGCUGGCGGCAGGCUUAACACACGCAAGUCGAACGCAUCGCAAGAUGAGUGGCAGACGGGUGAGUAACGCGUGGGAACAUACCCUUUUCUACGGAACAGCUCUGGGAAACUGGAAUUAAUACCGUAUACGCCCUACGGGGGAAAGAUUUAUCGGGGAAGGAUUGGCCCGCGUUGGAUUAGCUAGUUGGUGGGGUAAAGGCCUACCAAGGCGACGAUCCAUAGCUGGUCUGAGAGGAUGAUCAGCCACAUUGGGACUGAGACACGGCCCAAACUCCUACGGGAGGCAGCAGUGGGGAAUAUUGGACAAUGGGCGCAAGCCUGAUCCGGCCAUGCCGCGUGAGUGAUGAAGGCCUUAGGGUUGUAAAGCUCUUUCACCGAUGAAGAUAAUGACGGUAGUCGGAGAAGAAGCCCCGGCUAACUUCGUGCCAGCCGCCGCCGUAAAAC
rnacentral:rRNA from 1 species